rnacentral:rRNA from 1 species
AGAGGGUUCGAUUAUGGCUCAGAUUGAACGCUGGCGGGAUGCUUUACACAUGCAAGUCGAACGGCAGCACGACUUCGGUCUGGUGGCGAGUGGCGAACGGGUGAGUAAUGUAUCGGAACGUGCCUAGUAGCGGGGAUAACUACGCGAAAGCGUAGCUAAUACCGCACAAUACUUCGGGAAAGCGGGGACCUUCGGGCCUCGCACUAUUAGAGCGGCUGAUAUCGGAUUAGCUAGUUGGUGGGGUAACGGCUCACCAAGGCGACGAUCCGUAGCUGGUUUGAGAGGACGACCAGCCACACUGGGACUGAGACACGGCCCAGACUCCCUACGGGAGGCAGCAGUGGGGAAUUUUGGACAAUGGGGGAAACUCCUGAUCCAGCCAUCCCGCGUGUGCGAUGAAGGCCUUCGCUGUAAAGCACUUUGGCAGGAAAGAAACGGCACGGAUAAUACCCCGUGCAACUGACGGUACCUGCAGAAUAAGCACCGGUUGAAUCACGUGCCAGCAGCCGCGGUAAUACGUAGGUGCGUUAAUCGGAAUCAUUGGGCGCAAGCGCAGGCGGUUCGGAAAGAAAGAUGUGAACCUGAGCUUAACUUUGGAACUGCAUUUUUAACUACUGUUUAGAGUGUGUGUCAGAGGGAGGUGGAAUUCGCGUGUAGCAGUGAAAUGCGUAGAUAUGCGGAGGAACACCGAUGGCGAAGGCAGCCUCCUGGGAUAACACUGACGCUCAUGCACGAAAGCGUGGGGAGCAAACAGGGAUUAGAUACCCUGGUAGUCCACGCCCUAAACGAUGUCAACUAGCUGUUGGGGCCUUCGGGCCUUGGCAGCGCAGCUAACGCGUGAAGUUGACCGCCUGGGGAGUACGGUCGCAAGAUUAAAACUCAAAGGAAUUGGACGGGGACCCGCACAAGCGGUGGAUGAUGGAUUAAUUCGAUGCAACGCGAAAAACCUUACCUACCCUUGACAUGUCUGGAAUCCCGGAAGAGAUUUGGGAGUGCUCGCAAGAGAACCGGAACACAGGUGCUGCAUGGCUGUCGUCAGCUCGUCGUGGAGAUGUUGGGUUAAGUCCGCAACGAGCGCAACCCUUGUCAUUAGUUGCUACGAAAGGGCACUCCAUCGAGACUGCCGGUGACAAACCGGAGGAAGGUGGGGAUGACGUCAAGUCCUCAUGGCCCUGCGGGUAGGGCUUCAACACGUCAUACAAUGGUCGGGACAGAGGGUCGCCAACCCGCGAGGGGAGCCAAUCCCAGAAACCCGAUCGUAGUCCGGAUCGCAGUCUGCAACUCGACUGCGUGAAGUCGGAAUCGCUAGUAAUCGCGGAUCAGCAUGUCGCAGAAUAUGCCCCGGGUCUUGUACACACCGCCCGUCACACCAUGGGAGUGGGUUUACCAGAAGUAGCUAGCCUAACCGUAAGGAGGGCGAUUACCACGGUAGACGAUGACUGGGGUGAAGUCGUAACAAGGUAA